CGCCUUGCUCCUUCUUGGCCAUUUAUGGAGGGCGUGUUGAACCCACUCCACUCACCCACAGUUCCCUGAUGUGAGCACACUGUGAUAUAGAGAUCCCUGCUCUCAUGACGCUGAUGUUCCAGAGGAAGCAGGCAGUCAACUAGCAUAUUAACAAUGAGAUCAUUUCAACUAGAAGGAAAGGAUCCAGAGGACCUGAGAGAUGCAAGAGCCAUGAGGAUGAGGAGGAAAGUGACUGGGAGGGCUCCUGCUCUUGUUCUUGCUCUUUCCACUUAGGCAAGCCUAGGGUUAUUCACAUGGAGUUUCUGUCCAGUGCUGACCAACCAGCGUUCACUAGAACUUGGAGCAAGAGCCAUUGACACCACGGCAAUGCACAGCCACGUGCAUGCGGUCCAAGGUGUCAGCAGCAACUUCGGGCAGAAUGGCUCACUCCUGUGUCCUAAGACCAUAUCUGCAUUCUCUCUCUCGGCAGUAGGAACUCCAUACAAGCUUCCUGACCCUCGCUGCCCCGGUGGACUGGACGAUGAACUGACAUUUUCCAAACAGCCUUUGCUCCACCCUUGAUUAGAAAGUAUCUUUAAUUAAAACACCACAUCAGAAUUCUGAACCAAUUUCAUCCUGGCUCUCCUAAGUGCUUUGUACAAAACAUUAACUCUGGAAUCUCAUUAUACAUUUGCAACCCCUGUGACAAACAUAAAUGAUAAUUUAGCUCUAAUGCCUUCUUGAGCAAGUCAUAUUUCUAAAAGCUCAUGGAUAAUGGUAACUUACUGAGGGGAAUGUGUUAAUGUUGGAUUUAUCUGUCUCUUUACUUUUUAAACAAAGAAUUAGGGCUGGGAUGGUGGUGGGCUAAACAA
rnacentral:lncRNA from 1 species